AAUUGUCUGUUUUACUUAAUAACAUUCAUAUAGGGAUCACAAAAAAAUUAUCAAAUAAUUACACACGUGCAUGAACAUGCUUACUAGUUAGGUUAUCGUUGUACAUAAAUGUAAUAAAAUACAUUUUAAUCAUUAUUAAGUAUAUAAUUAUCUUUCUGAUUAUUUAAAAAAACACGGAUGUUUGUUUUAAUUUAAACCGCUUUGAAAAUAGCAAUAUAUAUGAUACAAUUAGAACUCGCUAAUUGCAUUUAUAUCAUAUGUGUACAAAAAAAAGAUAGAUUUUGUUUAUUAGAAAGAAAUUUUGUAACACGACUAAUGUCUGCGUAUUUUGUCAUGUUUGUUAUUUUAUACAAACUGGAUAAACUGACUUUUUCUCAUAUUUAUGUGAACAACUCGGAUUUUUUGUAUUCAAUUGAAAAAGCAGACUUGCAAUUGGCGAGGUUUGAAUGUAUUUCACUUCGUCACAUGCCAGCGCGCAUAUCUGUCAAGUCAGAAACGUAAACAAACACGGACAACCGCCCGUAAAGAUUGUGUGCAGAAUAAUCGUAAAAUUUUAUGUGAAAACUCGGGAAAAGGAAAAACAUCAUUUCAUCCCGAAAUUUGGCAACAUUCGUCCGAGUAUGAUCGAGCAGCUGUGUGUGUGUGUAUGCCGACGAAAUACGACGCCGUUUCUACAACAAUCACUAAAGCCGGCUGUGAUCGUGAUCGGCACAUUCUCAACUGGACCAACACACCGGUCGUUGUGUAUCUUCAAGCAAACCAACGUUGCCAUACACCACAAAAUAGCAUGGAAAGGAAA